rnacentral:rRNA from 1 species
UCAUACGGAGGAUCCAAGCGUUAUCCGGAAUAACUGGGCGUAAAGCGUUGCGUAGGCGGCAUGUUAAGCGGAGUGUGAAAUCGUACGGCUCAACCGUACGGCUAUGCUCUGAACUGACAAGCUAGAGAGUGAGAGAGGUUACUGGAAUUUCUAGUGUAGGAGUGAAAUCCGUAGAUAUUAGAAGGAACACCGAUGGCGUAGGCAGGUAACUGGCUCAUUUCUGACGCUCAGGCACGAAAGCGUGGGGAGCAAACGGGAUUAGAUACCCCGGUAGUCCACGCUGUAAACGAUGGAUGCUAGCUGUGAGAAGUAUCGACCCUUCUCGUAGCGAAGCUAACGCGUUAAGCAUCCCGCCUGGGGAGUACGGUCGCAAGAUUA